GGUAACCUGCCCUAAAGGGGGGGAUAACAUUUGGAAACAGAUGGUAAUACCGCAUAAAACCUAACACCGCAUGGUGUAGGGUUGAAAGAUGGUUUUGGCUAUCACUUUAGGAUGGACCCGCGGUGCAUUAGUUAGUUGGUGAGGUAAAGGCUCACCAAGACCGUGAUGCAUAGCCGACCUGAGAGGGUAAUCGGCCACACUGGGACUGAGACACGGCCCAGACUCCUACGGGAGGCAGCAGUAGGGAAUCUUCCACAAUGGACGAAAGUUUGAUGGAGCAACGCCGCGUGAGUGAAGAAGGUUUUCGGAUCGUAAAACUCUGUUGUUGGAGAAGAAUGUAUCUGAUAGUAACUGAUCAGGUAGGGACGGUAUCCAACCAGAAAGCCACGGCUAAUUACGUGCCAGCAGCCGCGGUAAUACGUAGGUGGCAAGCGUUGUCCGGAUUUAUUGGGCGUAAAGCGAGCGCAGGCGGUUUCUUAAGUCUGAUGUGAAAGCCUUCGGCUCAACCGAAGAAGUGCAUCG
rnacentral:rRNA from 2 species